CUUCCCUUGAAACAUCCCAGAAAAAAUGCCAGUCUGCUGCAGAGAAAUGGAAAUAUUUCUCAUAAAGGAAGAUUAAUAAUGAAAAUACAAUCGGGGAAAAAAAAGUCAUCUAUAGAGCCUCCUGCUCCUUCCAUGGAAUUUCUUGGUGUGGAACUCAGACAAACAUGCCAGGUGACCAGAAAGCUGACUCAGCUCCUAAACUCAGGAACUCAGGAGACCACUCACUUUUUGCCAGGAACUGAAGAAGUUAGGUAGUGCUGCAUCCUUUGUCUAUCAACAAAACCUCUGAAUGUGGGAGAGCAGCA
rnacentral:lncRNA from 1 species